AUGGCCUUCUUCCUUGCUCUACGGACCUGCCUUCUACUUGUGAAGUCAGGUGCUGCGCUGGGUGAUUCGGUCCAGUCCAAGGAACCCCACGUGUCUGGAGUGGAAGGAGGUUCAGUAACGUUCAGCUGUUACUACAAUACCACCGAUUUUUCGGGCGUCUAUCUCUACUGGUACCGACAGUCUCCUAACCGGGCCCCGCAGUACAUUCUGCGGAGAGGGACGAAGGUCUACGCUACUUAUAGCGAAAAUGCAGAUUUCGCCCAGGAGAGGUUUUCUUCCCAGGCUGAUGACAGCUCCACAGUUCUGACAAUCACAGCCCUGGAGCUGACAGACACCGCGGUGUAUUUCUGCGCCUUGCAGCGGGCACAGUGA